GUGCCAGCAGCCGCGGUAAUACGGAGGGGGUUAGCGUUGUUCGGAAUUACUGGGCGUAAAGCGCGCGUAGGCGGACUGGAAAGUUGGGGGUGAAAUCCCGGGGCUCAACCCCGGAACUGCCUCCAAAACUAUCAGUCUAGAGUUCGAGAGAGGUGAGUGGAAUUCCGAGUGUAGAGGUGAAAUUCGUAGAUAUUCGGAGGAACACCAGUGGCGAAGGCGGCUCACUGGCUCGAUACUGACGCUGAGGUGCGAAAGUGUGGGGAGCAAACAGGAUUAGAUACCCUGGUAGUCC
rnacentral:rRNA from 1 species